UACGUAGGGUGCAAGCGUUAAUCGGAAUUACUGGGCGUAAAGCGUGCGCAGGCGGUUUUGUAAGUCUGUCGUGAAAUCCCCGGGCUUAACCUGGGAAUUGCGAUGGAGACUGCAAGGCUAGAAUCUGGCAGAGGGGGGUAGAAUUCCACGUGUAGCAGUGAAAUGCGUGAGAGAUGUGGAGGAACACCGAUGGCGAAGGCAGCCCCCUGGGUCAAGAUUGACGCUCAUGCACGAAAGCGUGGGGAGCAAACAGG
rnacentral:rRNA from 1 species